rnacentral:rRNA from 1 species
CCUACGGGUGGCAGCAGUGGGGAAUAUUGGGCAAUGGGCGAAAGCCUGACCCAGCAACGCCGCGUGAAGGAAGAAGGCUUUCGGGUUGUAAACUUCUUUUGACAGGGAAGAGCAGAAGACGGUACCUGUCGAAUAAGCCACGGCUAACUACGUGCCAGCAGCCGCGGUAAUACGUAGGUGGCAAGCGUUGUCCGGAUGUACUGGGUGUAAAGGGCGUGUAGGCGGGCUGACAAGUCAGUUGUGAAAUCCUGGGGCUAAACCCCCGAACUGCAUUUGAAACUGUUGGUCUUGAGUAUCGGAGAGGAAGGCGGAAUUACGAGUGUAGCGGGGAAAUGCGUAGAUAUUAGGAGGAACACCAGUGGCGAAGGCGGCUUGCUGGCCGACAACUGACGGUGAGGCGCGAAAGCGGGGGGAGCAAACAGGAUUAGAUACCCGGGUAGUC